rnacentral:lncRNA from 1 species
UGCCCCUUCAAUAUUCCUAUUGGUCAUACAGGUCAUUGAAGCAUUACCACUCAACAAUUAUUUGUUUAAACCCUUUUUCCACGCAAUUAAUAAUCCAUCAUAGAUGGUCCAAUUUUUCGCUUGAGUAAUUUUACAUGUGCACGUGCUUCGGUUAAAUGAAUAUUUCAAAUCCAUAUAAUAUAAUGAGUCACAUUAACUAAAGACGC